rfam:Schistosoma mansoni strain Puerto Rico chromosome 3, complete genome
AUUCAGCUGUCGAGUCUCAAGUAGGACGAAAUGUGUAUCCUGGAU